rnacentral:rRNA from 1 species
GACGAACGCUGGCGGCGUGCCUAAUACAUGCAAGUCGUGCGGACCUUUUAAAAGCUUGCUUUUAAAAGGUUAUCGGCGGACGGGUGAGUAACACGUGGUCAACCUGCCUGUAAGACUGGGAUAACGCCGGGAAACCGGGGCUAAUACCGGAUCGUUUUUCCUCCGCAUGGAGGAAAAAGGAAAGUCGGCUUCGGCUGCCACUUACAGAUGGGCCCGCGGCGCAUUAGCUAGUGGGCGGGGUAACGGCCCACCAAGGCUAGGAUGCGGAGCCGACCUGGAAGGGUGCUAGGCCAAACUGGGCAGGGGACACGGCCCAACACACUAGGGGAGGCAGCCGUCGGGAACCUUCCGCAAAGGAAGAAAGUCUGAAGGAGAAACGCCGCGCGAGGGAAGAAGGCCGUCGGGUCGUAAAACUCUGUUGCCGGGGAAGAACAAGUGCCGUUCGAACAGGGCGGCGCCUUGACGGUACCCGGACAGAAAGCCACGGCUAACUACGUG